rnacentral:rRNA from 1 species
CCAAUAGCGUAUAUUAAAGUUGUUGCAGUUAAAAAGCUCGUAGUUGAACCUUGGGCCUGGCUGGCCGGUCCGCCUCACCGCGUGCACUGGUUCGGCCGGGCCUUUCCCUCUGGGGAAUCCCAUGCCCUUCACUGGGUGUGGCGAGGAACCAGGACUUUUACUGUGAAAAAAUUAGAGUGUUCAAAGCAGGCCUAUGCUCGAAUACAUUAGCAUGGAAUAAUAGAAUAGGACGUGUGGUUCUAUUUUGUUGGUUUCUAGGACCACCGUAAUGAUUAAUAGGGACAGUCGGGGGCAUCAGUAUUCAAUUGUCAGAGGUGAAAUUCUUGGAUUUAUUGAAGACUAACUACUGCGAAAGCAUUUGCCAAGGAUGUUUUCAUUAAUCAGGAACGAAAGUUAGGGGAUCGAAGACGAUCAGAUACCGUCGUAGUCUUAACCAUAAACUAUGCCGACUAGGGAUCGGACGAUGUUAUUUUUUGACUCGUUCGGCACCUUACG